CCUACGGGAGACAGCAGUGGGGAAUAUUGGGCAAUGGGCGCAAGCCUGACCCAGCAACGCCGCGUGAAGGAAGAAGGCUUUCGGGUUGUAAACUUCUUUUCUCAGGGACGAAGAAAGUGACGGUACCUGAUGAAUAAGCCACGGCUAACUACGUGCCAGCAGCCGCGGUAAUACGUAGGUGGCAAGCGUUAUCCGGAUUUACUGGGUGUAAAGGGCGUGUAGGCGGGGAAGCAAGUCAGAUGUGAAAACCACGGGCUCAACCUGUGGCCUGCAUUUGAAACUGUUUUUCUUGAGUACUGGAGAGGCAGACGGAAUUCCUAGUGUAGCGGUGAAAUGCGUAGAUAUUAGGAGGAACACCAGUGGCGAAGGCGGUCUGCUGGACAGCAACUGACGCUGAGGCGCGAAAGCGUGGGGAGCAAACAGGAUUAGAUACCCUGGUAGUC
rnacentral:rRNA from 1 species